GACGAACGCUGGCGGCGUGCCUAAUACAUGCAAGUCGAACGAGAGCAACCGGUGCUUGCCCUGGUCAAUCUAGUGGCGAACGGGUGAGUAACACGUGGGUAACCUGCCCAUCAGAGGGGGAUAACAUCCGGAAACGGAUGCUAAAACCGCAUAGGUCUUCGAACCGCAUGGUUUGAAGAGGAAAAGAGGCGCAAGCUUCUGCUGAUGGAUGGACCCGCGGUGCAUUAGCUAGUUGGUGAGGUAACGGCUCACCAAGGCCGUGAUGCAUAGCCGACCUGAGAGGGUGAUCGGCCACAUUGGGACUGAGACACGGCCCAAACUCCUACGGGAGGCAGCAGUAGGGAAUCUUCCGCAAUGGACGCAAGUCUGACGGAGCAACGCCGCGUGAGUGAAGAAGGUGUUCGGAUCGUAAAACUCUGUUGUUAGAGAAGAACAAGUGCUAGAGUAACUGUUAGCGCCUUGACGGUAUCUAACCAGAAAGCCACGGCUAACUACGUG
rnacentral:rRNA from 1 species